rnacentral:rRNA from 1 species
AUGGGCGCAAGCCUGAUCCAGCCAUGCCGCGUGAGUGAUGAAGGCCUUAGGGUUGUAAAGCUCUUUUAUCCGGGACGAUAAUGACGGUACCGGAAGAAUAAGCCCCGGCUAACUUCGUGCCAGCAGCCGCGGUAAUACGAAGGGGGCUAGCGUUGCUCGGAAUCACUGGGCGUAAAGGGCGCGUAGGCGGACAUUUAAGUCAGGGGUGAAAUCCCGGGGCUCAACCUCGGAAUUGCCUUUGAUACUGGGUGUCUCGAGACCGGAAGAGGUAAGUGGAACUGCGAGUGUAGAGGUGAAAUUCGUAGAUAUUCGCAAGAACACCAGUGGCGAAGGCGGCUUACUGGUCCGGUUCUGACGCUGAGGCGCGAAAGCGUGGGGAGCAAACAGGAUUAGAUACCCUGGUAGUCCACGCCGUAAACGAUGGAUGCUAGCCGUUGGACAGCUUGCUGUUCAGUGGCGCAGAAAACUCAUUAAGCAUCCCGCCUGG